rnacentral:rRNA from 1 species
UACGUAGGGUGCAAGCGUUAAUCGGAAUUACUGGGCGUAAAGCGUGCGCAGGCGGUGAUGUAAGACAGUUGUGAAAUCCCCGGGCUCAACCUGGGAACUGCAUCUGUGACUGCAUCGCUGGAGUACGGCAGAGGGGGAUGGAAUUCCGCGUGUAGCAGUGAAAUGCGUAGAUAUGCGGAGGAACACCGAUGGCGAAGGCAAUCCCCUGGGCCUGUACUGACGCUCAUGCACGAAAGCGUGGGGAGCAAACAGG